AGAGUUUGAUCCUGGCUCAGGAUGAACGCUGGCGGUAUGCCUAACACAUGCAAGUCGAACGGUGUCUUCGGACACAGUGGCGGACGGGUGAGUAACGCGUGAGAAUCUGCCUCUAGGUUGGGGACAACAGUUGGAAACGACUGCUAAUACCCGACGUGCCGUAAGGUAAAAGAUUUAUUGCCUGGAGAGGAGCUCGCGUCUGAUUAGCUAGUUGGUGGGGUAAAAGCCUACCAAGGCAGCGAUCAGUAGCUGGUCUGAGAGGAUGAGCAGCCACACUGGACUGAGACACGGCCCAGACUCCUACGGGAGGCAGCAGUGGGGAAUUUUCCGCAAUGGGCGAAAGCCUGACGGAGCAAUACCGCGUGAGGGAGGAAGGCCUUUGGGUUGUAAACCUCUUUUCUCAGGGAAGAAGAACUGACGGUACCUGAGGAAUAAGCAUCGGCUAACUCCGUGCCAGCAGCCGCGGUAAUACGGAGGAUGCAAGCGUUAUCCGGAAUCAUUGGGCGUAAAGCGUCCGCAGGUGGUUUUUCAAGUCUGCUGUUAAAGACUGGAGCUCAACUCCGGAAAGGCAGUGGAAACUGAGAAACUAGAGUUCGGUAGGGGUAGCGGGAAUUCCCAGUGUAGCGGUGAAAUGCGUAGAUAUUGGGAAGAACAUCGGUGGCGAAGGCGCGCUACUGGACCGAAACUGACACUCAGGGACGAAAGCUAGGGGAGCGAAAGGGAUUAGAUACCCCUGUAGUCCUAGCUGUAAACGAUGGAAACUAGGUGUGGCUUGUAUCGACCCGAGCCGUGCCGUAGCUAACGCGUUAAGUUUCCCGCCUGGGGAGUACGCACGCAAGUGUGAAACUCAAAGGAAUUGACGGGGGCCCGCACAAGCGGUGGAGUAUGUGGUUUAAUUCGAUGCAACGCGAAGAACCUUACCAGGGCUUGACAUGUCGCGAAUCUCCUUGAAAGGGGAGAGUGCCUUCGGGAGCGCGAACACAGGUGGUGCAUGGCUGUCGUCAGCUCGUGUCGUGAGAUGUUGGGUUAAGUCCCGCAACGAGCGCAACCCUCGUCUUUAGUUGCCAGCAUUAAGGUGGGCACUUUAGAGAGACUGCCGGUGACAAACCGGAGGAAGGUGGGGAUGACGUCAAGUCAGCAUGCCCCUUACGCCCUGGGCUACACACGUACUACAAUGGUUGGGACAAAGGGCAGCGACCCCGCGAGGGAAAGCGAAUCUCAUCAAACCCAGCCUCAGUUCAGAUUGCAGGCUGCAACUCGCCUGCAUGAAGGAGGAAUCGCUAGUAAUCGCAGGUCAGCAUACUGCGGUGAAUUCGUUCCCGGGCCUUGUACACACCGCCCGUCACACCAUGGAAGCUGGUCACGCCCGAAGUAGUUACCCUAACCUUUCGGGGGGGGGGACUCCUAAGGCAGGGCUAGUGACUGGGGUGAAGUCGUAACAAGGUA
rnacentral:rRNA from 1 species